UACGGAGGGUGCAAGCGUUAUCCGGAUUCACUGGGUUUAAAGGGUGCGUAGGUGGGCAGGUAAGUCAGUGGUGAAAUCUCCGGGCUUAACUCGGAAACUGCCAUUGAUACUAUCUUUCUUGAAUACCGUGGAGGUCAGCGGAAUAUGUCAUGUAGCGGUGAAAUGCUUAGAUAUGACAUAGAACACCAAUUGCGAAGGCAGCUGGCUACACGAAUAUUGACACUGAUGCACGAAAGCGUGGGGAGCAAACAGG
rnacentral:rRNA from 1 species